rnacentral:tRNA from 1 species
GCCCACAUAGCUCAGAGGUAGAGCACUUCCUUGGUAAGGAAGAGGUCACCGGUUCAAUUCCGGUUGUGGGCUCCA